GGGGGUGUACUGGUUUCGACGGGGUCGUUGACACACGGACUGCGAGCAGAGGAUUCUCGUUGGCCUCUAUAAAAAACGGGAAAUUAAAAUUAAACGCAAGAAAUAAUACUUCUUUGCAGGCUGCUUAAUGCAGCCGCGUUGACCCGGCGGUCACCCGUGCCGCCGGCAAUCAGCGUCAUCAAGUCGGGCCCGCCUGCGCGGCGGUCAGCGCAGGGUACGGAGCCGCUUAAGCUUUGCGGCGGUUCGGCAUUUAUGAAGCUACCGGUUGUACGUUUUCGGCCGUCUGAAUUUACAAUCGGGAAUUUGAUCGGCGGCAUAUGCUCGUAGACGUUCGCGGGAAUACGGUUUCGGACAGGGGUUCGACUCCCCUCACCUCCACCA
rnacentral:tmRNA from 2 species